rnacentral:rRNA from 1 species
UACAGAGGUCUCAAGCGUUGUUCGGAUUCAUUGGGCGUAAAGGGUGCGUAGGCGGCGCGGUAAGUCGGGUGUGAAAGUCUCGGGGCUUAACUCCGAAACUGCAUUCGAUACUGCCGUGCUUGAGGACUGGAGAGGAGACUGGAAUUUACGGUGUAGCGGUGAAAUGCGUAGAUAUCGUAAGGAAGACCAGUGGCGAAGGCG